CUCCAGGCUAGGUUUGAUUGCUUUAGUAUACUGAGGUAAAUAUACCAUGAGUAUGUGUGCUCACCGCCCGUUGCUUUUCUCUUUAGUAACAUUUAUCACAAUAGUAAUCAAAUAUUUACUUAUGAAAUUAGUUAUUUGUUGCUUUUCUGCCUUUUGUGACAGUCUUGUUCAUGCUGCAUCCACAGUGUCAAGUACAGUGCCUGGCACGUAUUCGUGCCUAAUAGAGAUUUGUUGAGUGAAUAAAAUAGCAGUGUCCAAAAGUGCCAUAUACUGUUGAGAUUUGACAAGUCAAAGUCUGAAAGUUGUCCAUCGGAUUUGAAAAAUGCAAGUCAUUGUAUAUUUUAGGAGGAAUGGUUUUGGUAGAAUGGUGGGGACAGAAGCAAGAUUGCAAAAUAUGUUGAAAGGAAAAACAAGACUUAACCACUCUCUAUAGAAACGUUGUAAAACUUGCAAAGUAUUUCUCUACUGAUAGCACUUUUUCCUGAGUUUUACUAAUUCAGUAGAAACUCUCAGAACCCUCCAAAUUACAGUAGGAUAAAAAAUAAAUCCCAAGGCAUGACACUAUGAUUUCCUUUCUCAGUUGACGGUGAAUAGAAUGGAAUAUUCACAUUAAUACAAAUAAUCACAGGUAGGCAGUUCAGAGCAUUCUGCUCCAGAAGGAGCAAAGAGUAACCCAGAUGUUUUUGAUCCCCUCUGCUUAUCACUGAGCCGAAAGUACAGUCAUUUUUUUUAAUACCAGUGGCAUCAAAAAAUAUGUACUGUUUCAUCUCUGUGCUCGACAGGACUUGAAACAAAACCUUAAAAGACCAGCUCUUCACAUAAGCAUGAAAUAGUUUGAAAAUCCUUCUGUAAUGGAAGUGGCCUUGUGAAGACAUUUGUUGUGACGACCUUCCAGAGUGUAUUGUGGGAGGUGCUAUGCGCAAAUGCAAGGGCAGUGCUGUGCAUAGUCUUGGUGUGUUCUACUUACGAAAAGUAAUAAUAGUAAUAAAUACACGUAACACUUGGGGCAAGUUACCUGUUCUAAGCUCUUUACACGCAUUAACUCAUUUAAUCCUCACAAAAAUCCCUGGAGGAAGCUGCCCUUGUUCUUUUAUUACCAAUCAGGAAAGUGAAGCUCAGAGGGCUUGAAUAACUUGCCCGGGGUGGCAGAACUGACAUGUGAACCCAGGCCAUCUGGCUUCAGAAUCCACGUUCUUACCUGCUAUGCUGGAGGGCAUCUCUGAGAGCACUUGAUUGUGAAGUCAGUACUUAGGAUUGGCUGCCGUUCCCUCUUCUGCCUCCAUCCUCCUGCCCAUUUUCUCACCCCUGAUGCUAGAGCACCUGUUCCCUCUUCACCUCUAGAAUGAGGAUCUAGAGAAAUAUCCACACAGAGGCCUGCACUUUCUCCCACUAGGGCAGCUCUGCAAAGAAUUUGCUGUUUUGGAACACAUAAGGCUCUCUGGACACCACCAUUGGCUCUGUAGGAUUCUUUGGUAAUAGGCACUUUAUGUGGAUUCAGACAUUUGUGAAUGCUUGUCAGGAAUCCUGGUCACCCUUCACAGUUUUGAUCAUAUGGGAAAAUAUGUUCCUGGUUCCGACAACUGAUUUACACAUACACUUUUGGAACAUAAUCUACUUUUAAGUUGUUCACUACCUGUGUAUGUACUAAGUACUGAAUUAGGUGUUAAUGAACUUCUGCACCUUUUAUAUGUCUGUGUGUCUGCUUUAUCAUAGCUCAAUAGCCUUGCUAAUCUUUUGGGAAGGAGUAAGGAGAGGUUUUACUUGAUUUUGAGAUAUACUUUGUCUUUUCCAGACCUUGGUAUGUGGCUCAACAGUGAGUAGGAUUAUAAUAAGUUGUCGCUUAGGAGAAACUGAAUGUUAUCUCAUUAUAUUCGUUUUAACACAAAUAGAAUCUUUAGGGUAGAAUUUGCCACAUCUCAACAGUUCUUUUUUAAGCAUAAUACUUGGAUUGUUGAACUGCAUUGUUGCUUAAGUGGUAGUCUAAAGGAGAAGGAGUAAAUUAAAGCCUUUUAGCAAUGAUUUUUUUCUAACGAGUUUCCUUCUCUGCACUCCGACU
ensembl:lncRNA